rnacentral:tRNA from 1 species
GGGAAUGUGGCUUAGCAGUAGAGUGUUUGCCUUGCAUGCAUAAAGCUUGGGUUCGAUUCCUCAGUACCA